rnacentral:tRNA from 1 species
ACCUCUUUAAUUUAAAAAAAAAAUAUUAGUUUUGUAAACUAAAAUUAGCUUAAGCUAAGAGGU